CUUAAAUGCUAAUUCACCAUAUAACUUCUAACUAACCCUGAGUCUGGGAAUGCCUCCAAAAUGUGUAGUUGAUGUAUUUUACUCAUUAUGCAGAAACACCUAAUCACUGUACAUUUCCUCCAAAAUCACCCUCGAUGCUGUUGCAGAAAUCACAGGCUGUGACAACUGUGGCCACUUACACAUUCCUAACAGGGUACAUAUAUUUUCCCCAAGAUACAAGUCCUGGGUCUGGGGAUUUGCCGUGUGCACGAUUACUUGUCUUGUGGCUGCCCAAGACCAUGCUUCUGUCUGUAAGUUUCCCGUAAUGAAUUGUGCCACACCAACAAACUUGAUUUGUCGGCCUCCUUCUUUGGUUUCUUGGCUCCUUCAGCAUGUGGGGGUCUCUUUGCACAUAUGGUCCUUUCACAGAACUUCCCUUAACCCGAAUAUAUAUCUUAAUACAACAGAAACGGCAUGAGUUGGGCUGGGUGCUAUUCUAUUCCUUUACAUGCGUUAAUUUAUGUAAUUCUCUCCAGAAGGGGAGCUGUGAUUAUACCAGUUUUAUAGAUGGGGAGACUAAAGUACUAACGUUCCAAAUGUAAAAAUUAGCUGGGCAUGGUGGUGGAGGUUGCAGUGAGUCGAGGUUGUGCCACUGCACUCCAGAGCAAGAUUCUGUCUCAAAACAAACAAACAAACCAAAAUGAAACCAUAUGAAUAUCACAAGAACACAUGGGCAAAUUUUGUUUAUGUUCUUAGAGUGGGGCAGGCCUUUUUAGGCAUGUCAUAAAACCAAAAA
rnacentral:lncRNA from 10 species